CAAUAGCGUAUAUUAAAGUUGUUGCAGUUAAAAAGCUCGUAGUUGGAUUUCUGGUAGGAGUGACCGUGCCAGACUUGAUUGUCUGUGUAUUGUGUUGUCUCCAGCCAUCCUUGUGGAGAACUUUUCUUGCAUUAAUUUGUAGGGAUUGGGACCCGCAUCGUUUACUGUGAAAAAAUUAGAGUGUUUAAAGCAGGCAAUCGCUUGAAUACAUUAGCAUGGAAUAAUAAGAUAGGACUUUGGUACUAUUUUGUUGGUUUGCAUACCAAAUUAAUGAUCAACAGGAACGGUUUGAGGAUAUUCGUAUGAACAUGUCAGAGGUGAAAUUCUUGGAUUUUGAUCAGACGAACUACUGCGAAAGCAUUUAUCAAGGAUGUUUUCAUUAA
rnacentral:rRNA from 1 species